GCUGGGCACAGUGGCGCAUGCCUGCAAUCCCAGCAACUCAGGAGGCUGAGGCAGGAAGACUGCAAGUUGAAAGCCAGCCUCAG
rnacentral:sRNA from 1 species